AUUGAACGCUGGCGGCAGGCCUAACACAUGCACGUCGAGCGAGCGGCGGACGGGUGAGUAAUGUAUGGGGGCUGCCCGAUAGAGGGGGAUAACUACUGGAAACGGUGGCUAAUACCGCAUACUAUCGGAUAACCCAUAUGGGAUUAGCUAGUAGGUUGGGUAAAGGCUCACCUAGGCUACGCUCUCUAGCUGGUCUGAGAGGAUGAUCAGCAACACUGGGACUGAGACACGGCCCAGAAUCCUACGGAGGCAGCAGUGGGGAAUAUUGCACAAGGGGCGAAAGCCUGAUGCAGCCAUGCCGCGAGGAUGAAGAAGGCAUUAGGGAUGUAAAGUACUUUCAGCGGGGAGGCGUUACCCGCAGAAGAAGCUCCGGCUAACUCCGGGCCAGCCGCCGCGGUAAUUC
rnacentral:rRNA from 1 species